UUACAACAAGAUGUACCUUGCUAAUUUUAUUGUUUAGAGAUGGUGAUUUUUACAGCUCUCUGUUGCACGUAAAGGCGCUAGAUCAUCAGUGGACAUGUCCUGCUAUUGCUUGUUGCUGAUUGCUUUCUUUUUUUAAUGAGCUUUGACAUGUUAGGCAAUAUUUGCCCUGUUUAUAUUGACAUGCCACUUUUGAUCCAUUUGCAGUUAAUCAUGGCUGCAGUUUUCAAUGUUUGGUUAAAACUAUUGUCCUGGACUCCUUUGGUUUAAACAUGUUGAAUGUAUUGUGAUGUCCUUGAUCUCUCGCUGGUUCCUUCUGGGAUUUUCCGAAGUCCCAUUGAAACUUUCUUGGCAAUUUGUGUUUUUUUACCGUUGAUGUUGCAGCGAGAUAAAAAUGGAUGAUCAUCGUUAUGAUAUGCUCUUUAUUAGUGCCACGUAAAUCACCAAAAAUAUUUUAAUGUUCCUGUAAAAAUAUGGAAAUAGGACCAUAGAAGUGGCAUGUUGCAAGAUUAUUUUAAAUCCUCGGUGAAUAAGUGUCAACCAAGAGAAUCUGCAACAAAAAUGUUGUAAUUUUAACCAGUGAUACCUUUAUGAAUAUUUACCUAGGCCAUUGGGAAAGUCAUUUAUAUAUUUGAUUAUCUGACUCACAAAUGCUCUUUCAUCGGUUAUAUUAUGUUUACACAGUACAUCAGAGAUCAGUAAAUUAUGAAGCGAUAACUGAUGUUGUAUCAGGGUGAUUGUGUGCCUUCGUAUCAUUAUAUGUGGGCUAUUCUGGCUUGUGAAAUAAUUUUGUAACUAUUUCUCUGCAACUUGUUGUGUGGGUUCAAAAAUCACAGCUACUUGAACUUGUAGAGCGUGAUUAUAUUGCACGUGUUGAUUUAACAGCUAAGGUCACGGUGUUCAUAAAGCAGAACAGCAUACUCAGAAAAUUCCUGCAUCUUAUAGGGGUGAGAUUGUGUAUAGAACACUUUUGGGCUUUUGGCCAAUUGUGUUGCUGCAGCCACAUAAAAAAUCAGAGCAUUUUUUUAAUAGGAUGACCUCCCCUGACCCCUGGGCCUGGCAGCGCACUGCCAUCAGCGCAAGCACGAUGGCAGCAGGUGAGGCGGAGGGAUGAGCAGCCUUGCCAUACUGGAGAAGAAGUCGACGCUGUUCCCCGAUGGCGGUGGUAUGGGCGGUGUUCUCUUCCAACUCUGAGCUCCAGGUUUCAGUGAACUCAGGGCCGCAGGGUUUGGUUUGGUGUCAAAGAUCGGCCUGGAGGCGACCAACACAAGUGGUUCCCUGAUUCUGCAUUGUGGAAUCCUUCGCCCAGACAAGAGAGAUUGGAUCCUCCCGUCCAGACAACCUGAUAGAACGACAGUGUAUAAGAACAGGGCUCUUAGGACGCCUUUUGUCAAGAUGGGUCAUAACUCUACCCUGUGAAUUGAGAUAGAUGAUCAUGUGGUGCAAGAUAUUGAGUCCCUCAUCUUUGACGACACACAUAACAAAUGGUAAGCGUCUCCGUGGAUGGAGCCUGAAGUAUAUUCAAAUUCAAGGCAUGCCACAAAGCAUCUCGCGUGUGGGAUGCUCCGGCGUGUGGAAAGGAGAAAAGCCAAAUAAAUGGGUACAUGUCCAGCAGGCGUGAGUUCUUAAAUACUCAGAUUCCUUGUCCAUAGGCAAAUGCAUAGUUCAUACGAAUCAGGGCUUCACAUACAUAUCCAUUUUUGUGUUGGUAGCAAUAUAAUGUUUGAUCUCAAGCUUACCACAACCAAGCUCAAUUUUAUAUGUGUGCACACCAAUUGGAUUGAUGAAACAAAAUGUAGAUGACACAAUACUUCUUUAGCAUUUUAUAUAUUGAGAUUGG